UACGAGGGGUGCAAGCGUUGUUCGGAAUUAUUGGGCGUAAAGGGUAGGUAGGUGGUCUCGUUUGUCAGGGGUGAAAGCCUUGGGCUUAACCCAAGAAGUGCCCCUGAAACGGCGAGACUCGAGUCCUGGAGAGGGUCGUGGAAUUCCCGGUGGAGCGGUGAAAUGCGUAGAGAUCGGGAGGAACACCAGAGGCGAAGGCGG
rnacentral:rRNA from 1 species